UGCAUAAUAUAUUUUUUUAGGAAAAAGGUCUUCAAAUAUAGCACUUGGAAAACAAUUUCAUACAAAUGUUUCAUUCCACAUAAUUAGAAUUUGUGAAGAAAUAUGUCAGACCAUGUUUUGUAUUGUGUCAUAUGAAAUUACAUUACAUUUUCACAGAAAUUUAGAGCGUAGUAUCAAAAAAAAAUAUAUUAUGCAAGUAAACUAGAGUUGGCAGAAACCCCUUCCAAGGCUUUCUAGUAAGCCCAGAAAUCAGGACCACCAGGCUUCUUUACAAGAAUUUGGUUGUACUCAGGCCUUGAAGUGAGAUCUUUGAAGAUGAUAAAGGCAAUGAGGAAGAAGAAAAGAAAGAGCAUCUCAAAUUCUGCAAAUUUUAUGAAGGCAAAGACAGCAUUAACCGUUCGAGUCAACACUGACUCAUCCCUUUUUCUGCUCCCACCAGCCCUAAUCUGCCUUCCAACAUCCCUGCCCAUCUCCGUAUCUUACUCCUUUGACUGCUGAGGUUUAAUCUAUCGAAUAACUGUAAAUCUAAUUUGACCCACGAAUCCCUAGCGCGUAAAAGAAUGGUAAG
rnacentral:misc_RNA from 1 species